rnacentral:rRNA from 2 species
UUGACCUCAAAUCAGGUAGGACUACCCGCUGAACUUAAGCAUAUCAAUAAGCGGAGGAAAAGAAACUAACAAGGAUUCCCCUAGUAACUGCGAGUGAAGCGGGAAGAGCUCAAAUUUUGAAUCUG